AUUGAACGCUGGCGGCAGGCUUAACACAUGCAAGUCGAGCGGAGAGAGGUAGCUUGCUACUGAUCUUAGCGGCGGACGGGUGAGUAAUGCUUAGGAAUCUGCCUAUUAGUGGGGGACAACAUUUCGAAAGGAAUGCUAAUACCGCAUACGUCCUACGGGAGAAAGCAGGGGAUCUUCGGACCUUGCGCUAAUAGAUGAGCCUAAGUCGGAUUAGCUAGUUGGUGGGGUAAAGGCCUACCAAGGCGACGAUCUGUAGCGGGUCUGAGAGGAUGAUCCGCCACACGGGGACUGAGACACGGCACAGACUCCUACGGGAGGCAGCAGUGGGGAAUAUUGGACAAUGGGCGGAAGCCUGAUCCAGCCAUGCCGCGUGUGUGAAGAAGGCCUUAUGGUUGUAAAGCACUUUAAGCGAGGAGGAGGCUACUUUAGUUAAUACCUAGAGAUAGUGGACGUUACUCGCAGAAUAAGCACCGGCUAACUCUGUGCCAGCCGCCGCAGUAAAAC
rnacentral:rRNA from 1 species